CAUAAUAAGACCAGAAGAACCUAUGGAGCUUUAAUCAAUCAGUCCAAAAAAGAACAAAAAAUUUAGCCAAAUUUAAAGGAUAAAGAAACUGUAAGUGGACUAACAGUUUUGUUUGAGGUAACGUAGAUAACAAAAUAGGCUCCAAGUAAUUAAAAUCUAGACCAACAAGUCAAAAUGUUUUAUCACUUAUUGAUCCAAAAUAUGGAUCAAGAGAACAAGUUACCCUAGGGAUAACAGCACUAUCCUAUUCUAUAUAGUCCAUAGGGUUUAUGACCUCGAUGUCGAGUCAGGACAUCCCAAUAGUGUAACCACUAGUAAUGAUUUGUUUGUUCAACUAUUAAAGUCCUAUGUGAUCUGGUUUUAGAUCUGGGUGAUCUAGGUCAGUUUUAUCUGUUCCA
rfam:Ailuropoda melanoleuca scaffold7038_2, whole genome shotgun sequence.